rnacentral:rRNA from 1 species
GACGUAGGGCGCGAGCGUUGUCCGGAUUUAUUGGGCGUAAAGAGCUCGUAGGCGGCUUGUCGCGUCGUCCGUGAAAACCUGCAGCUCAACUGCAGGCUUGCGGUCGAUACGGGCAGGCUGGAGUUCGGUAGGGGAGACUGGAAUUCCUGGUGUAGCGGUGAAAUGCGCAGAUAUCAGGAGGAACACCGGUGGCGAAGGCGCACAUCUGGCCCGAUACUGACGCUGAGGCGCGAAAGCUAGGGGAGCAAACGGG